rnacentral:rRNA from 1 species
UACGUAGGGAGCAAGCGUUGUCCGGAAUCAUUGGGCGUAAAGCGCGCGUAGGUGGCUUCGUAAGUCCGUUGUGAAAGUCAAAGGCUCAACCUUUGAAAGCCGAUGGAUACUGUGAAGCUAGAGUACGGAAGAGGCGAGUGGAAUUCCUGGUGUAGCGGUGGAAUGCGCAGAUAUCAGGAGGAACACCAAUAGCGAAGGCAGCUUGCUGGGACGGUACUGACGCUGAGGCGCGAAAGCGUGGGGAGCAAACAGG